rnacentral:lncRNA from 1 species
CCGCACAGCUCCGCCAGUGAUUGCCUGGCUGGAGACUCAGAUACUCAAGUUUCCCUUGGCGUGCUCUCCUGGUGGGUAGGCUAGGCUAACCCCCAAACCCUGCGGUGCUCUCCGCGGGAAGAAGGGCGCUGAGGGCGCAGGUUGUCAGCUCAGAGCGUAAGGACGCGUGUAUGUAAGGAGGGGCAAGGCGAGCGGUACCAGCCCCAGGGUCCGGCUAGUCUACCUCGGUGUGCUCCUCUGCACCCCAGGACUGAGCUAGGCUGCUCCAGCAGGCGAGGAUCCCGGAGCCAAGGAGUUCCGAGAGCCCGGGGAUUAAGCGGCUACUUCAUGAACUCCAAAUCCCCAGGCACCCGCGCCCCGGUUUAUGAUGAUCGCUGAGCUAGCGCCCCCCCCCCCCGCUUCCACUUCCAGAUGCCAGCCUGUGGCUUGGGGCAGGAAGCAGCCGGGCGCUCCAGGAUUCUCGGGAUUGGGACUGUAGACAGAAGAAAGCCUGGCUGUUGUGGGAGACCCGCUGCUGAGCCCAGAGAGCUGCGACCGUGUUUCUGCCACGUAAAACAUAGGCAGACCUUGGAGCGCGGAGCCUGGUUGCAGCGGAGCACGGCCUCCUCACCCUGUCCUCACCCUGCGUAAAGGCGCGGGGCUGGGUAACCCCCCCCCACCCCCGACGCUGCAGGCUGUAUUGUUCCCCGAGAUUUGAAGCCCUCUCCUUUGGGGUUACAUGAACCCGGAGGAUGGGUGGUGGCGCGCCUUUCAGCUAGGGGGCAGGCGCCUACAGACACUGACCAGCCACGUAGAAACACAGGUGCUCCAGGAAUUCUGAAUCUGGGGUCGAGGGGCCCAUUUCUGUGCAUCCCGAGGGAGGAGGGACAAGACUGGCAAGAAUCGGGUAUUGGGGUGUCAGGAUGAUCUUGGCAAGUGUCUCCUAGCGUCAGCUUUAGAUUACAGACAAUUGUGUCCACCGGCCCUCCAGCCUCCGAGGAGGUGCCUCCUGGGCGUCUGCCGGGUGCUCCCCUCCCCCAUCUCGUCCGGUUCCCUCCUCGAGGGCUUUCCGAGAACUGCAGCAGGUGGCGUUUGGCGUAUGAAUAGCAAGGACAACCCAGGGACUUAAACUGGUUGUGGCCUCUGAUCAAGCACUUCACCGGGCUCAUUGCCCUCCGAAGGAGUCGGUGAAGAAGGUGAAAAGGUCAUAAGCCUUCUGGGAAGUGGCAUUUAUAGACUCACUGCCAUCACAGAGACUGACUCCUACCUGGUGCAAGAGCUGGCAAAGAUUUAGGAAUGCUGGCAAGGAGACUCUGGUCAAAGGUUUUGGCUGAAAAACUAGGGUCAGCCAGGGAGAAAGGACGCUGGGACACUGGUGCUCCAGGCCAGGACUCUGCGUUGGGUGUCUGGGCUGGGCGCUCGACUGAAGCUUGUGCGAGGCGCGGAGCUGCUGCUUAUGCUCCCGCGCCCGACUCAGCCUUCUUUCCGGCCCUGGUUACCCGGCCCCGCCUACAGCACAGAUCCGCCCCCCUCCCCGCCCCAUCGCACCUCCACCCCGGGCGCAGUUAGCCAGCCCCGUCCCGAAGCGCCUCCGUUAGUCGCCACUGGGCUUCCUCCUAGGCUGCCUGACCCGUUGGAAGCCCCCCGGUGGGUUGGGCGCGCCGGGAGUCUGGGAGUCAAAUGCCCCGGGUCGAGCGGAAGGGGCAGUCGCGGGGCGGUCGGCCCUCUGCAGGCAAGGUCUAGGCGUCAGCCGCGCCCAGGGCAGAGCCAGGGGAACGACAGAGGCGGGGGACAGCCCUGGCGCCCUGCCACAGCGAGCGCGUGUCCCCGCCUCCCCACGCCAGGCGCCGGGUGCAUCCCUGCCAAUUCCAACUGCGCCGAGUGUGAUUAUCCCAUAUCUUUUGCUUGACGUGUGGAUUGUGUAUAUAUUCCGUGGCCAGUCAAUUGCUCAAGAAAAGAAUUCCAGGCUGCCUACACUGGUGGUGGUCAUCAGCUACAAGGAAGACAUUGUGGAGAGAGGCCCUGAGAAAUGAAUCUUUGAAUUCUAUGACCAGAAGAAGAGGGGAAUAUGCUAGGCUAAGGAUAGGCAACAUGUUCACAACAUUACUCUUCACCUGGACCAGAAGAAAAACCAGCAAUGAACUCUUGACAUGUUUGUUCCCUGCCUCUAAGCAGAGUUCUGUGGCCUGGGUUGAACUUUCUGCAAUUGCAUCGUACAGCGGAGGUGGAAGAGGCACUGUGAAGUUUACUCCAUCCCCGAAUUUGCAGUUUUGUUAAGGAAAACAAUAUAAAACCUGCAAGAUGAAAGAGGCUAAAAAUAAAAGGAGGGAAGCCCAACAACAAAGAAAGGACACCCACCAGCUCUCUCCUCUGCUCAAGGUUAGAAACACUCAUGUGGAGAAGGACCCGUGCUAGCAUGGAAGAGAAGAAGAGUAUGGAAAAUGAAGAGAACUUCCUUAAGAAGAAAGGGUGUUGGAGACUUUGAAGCUGACACAGUUUUAGCAGAAAGGAGAAAAGAG